CAGUAGCCGCGGUAAUACGUAGGUGGCAAGCGUUGUCCGGAAUUAUUGGGCGUAAAGGGCUCGCAGGCGGUUUCUUAAGUCUGAUGUGAAAGCCCCCGGCUCAACCGGGGAGGGUCAUUGGAAACUGGGAAACUUGAGUGCAGAAGAGGAGAGUGGAAUUCCACGUGUAGCGGUGAAAUGCGUAGAGAUGUGGAGGAACACCAGUGGCGAAGGCGACUCUCUGGUCUGUAACUGACGCUGAGGAGCGAGAGCGUGGGGAGCGAACAGGAUUAGAUACCCCAGUAGUCCCUGUCUCUUAUAA
rnacentral:rRNA from 1 species